GGAAGUAAAAGUCGUAACAAGGUUUCCGUAGGUGAACCUGCGGAAGGAUCAUUAACGAGUAACUGAACGGGUUGUUGCUGGCCUCUCGGGGCAUGUGCACGCCUGGCUCAUUCCACUCUUUCAACCUCUGUGCACUUGUGUAGGUCGGUGGAGAGGCAAGUCUUAGGAUUUGCUUGGAAGCCUUCCUAUGUUUUAUUACAAACGCUUCAGUUUAAGAAUGUAAUCUCUGCGUAUAACGCAUCUAUAUACAACUUUCAGCAACGGAUCUCUUGGCUCUCGCAUCGAUGAAGAACGCAGCGAAAUGCGAUAAGUAAUGUGAAUUGCAGAAUUCAGUGAAUCAUCGAAUCUUUGAACGCACCUUGCGCUCCCUGGUAUUCCGGGGAGCAUGCCUGUUUGAGUGUCAUGGUAUUCUCAACCUUCAUAACUUUUUGUUAUCGAAGGCUUGGACUUGGAGGUUGUGCUGGCUACUCGUUUAGUCGGCUCCUCUUAAAUGCAUUAGCGUGAGUGUAACGGAUCGCUUCGGUGUGAUAAUUAUCUGCGCCGUGGCCGUGAAGUAACAUAAGCUUGCGCUUCUAACCGUCCUUCAGUUGGACAAUUUACGUUAUGACAUCUGACCUCAAAUCAGGUAGGACUACCCGCUGAACUUAAGCAUAUCAAUAAGCGGAGGA
rnacentral:rRNA from 1 species